rnacentral:rRNA from 1 species
GUAGUCCACGCCCUAAACGAUGAGUGCUAGAUAUCGGGAUUUAGUUCUCGGUGUCGUAGUUAACACGAUAAGCACUCCGCCUGGGAAGUACGGUCGCAAGACUAAAACUCAAACGGAAUUGACGGGGACCCGCACAAGCGGUGGAACAUGUGGUUUAAUUCGACGCUACGCGAAAAACCUUACCAGGCCUUGACAUAAUGGUUAUACUAUGAAGAGAUUCAUGGGUCGGUUCGGCCGGACCAUUACAGGUGUUGCAUGGCUGUCGUCAGCUCGUGUCGUGAGAUGUUGGGUUAAGUCCCGCAACGAGCGCAACCCUUAUUCUUAGUUACCAGCGGGUAAAGCCGGGCACUCUAAGAAAACUGCCGGUGAUAAACCGGA